rnacentral:lncRNA from 1 species
CCAGAUUUCCAAACAUAAACAUGUGGUUCAGCUUGUGCAGGUGUGUUUGUAUGUUCUGCUCAGCAGAUUUCAUCCUUCACCGCUCGCUGUUCCCCGUUGCUGGAGGAGAGAGGAGGUUUUUGUUCAGACGCUUGAUGAGGAAGACCCAAACAUGACCCUCCAUUUACUGCUCCUCUGCCAAUACCCCACCAAGGACAGAGCGGCAGUGUUUGUGUGUCUGUGUGUGUGUGUGUGUGUGGGGGGGGGGGGGGGACUGUACAGUUUAUCAGUUUGUGUUCCUAAAAUCGUUGUAUGAAAAUACAAGCUUCCAUAUUUUAAAGUAGUGUUUGUUUUUGACUGCGUGUCAAUUUAUGAUUACUAUUUUUUUCUAUUGCAGAGGCACGGACAUUAUUCUACAGGUGGAAUUACAGACCAGAGAUGAGACAACUUGAAGAUCUAAUUUUGUUGUUUUUGGAAAGAAGAAUAAAAUCUGUGCAAAAAUUUGAACGUUUUCCC